AGCAGCCGCGGUAAUUCCAGCUCCAAUAGCGUAUAUUAAAGUUGUUGCAGUUAAAAAGCUCGUAGUUGAAUUUCGGGGUCAGUAGGUCGGUCGUGCCACUGGUAUGAACUGGUUUCACUGAUUCCUCCCUCUUGUAGAACCGUGAUGCCAUUAAUUUGGUGUUGCGGGGAAACAGGACUGUUACUUUGAAAAAAUUAGAGUGUUUAAAGCAAGCUAACGCUUGAAUACAUUAGCAUGGAAUAAUGAAAUAGGACGUCGAUCUUAUUUUGUUGGUUUCUAGGGUUGACGUAAUGAUUAAUAGGGAUAGUUGGGGGCAUUAGUAUUCAAUUGUCAGAGGUGAAAUUCUUGGAUUUAUUGAAGACUAACUACUGCGAAAGCAUUUGCCAAGGAUGUUUUCAUUAAUCAAGAACGAAAGUUAGGGAUCGAAGACGAUCAGAUACCGUCGUAGUC
rnacentral:rRNA from 1 species